CCAAAGAUGCGUCCCUGCUGGCCUUGAAGACCAGCUUGAUUUAAGGAGUUUUUAACUCUACUUAACUUUAGAAUCGUUUUGGAGUCACAGAAAAGUUGCAGAGGUGAUAAGAGUUCUGUGGACCCAACACCCAGCUUCCCCUAUUACCAUCAUCUCACACUGCGCACAGCUAAUGAACGGUCCACGUGGGCAAACGGAUCACAAAGGUCAGGACAAAGGUCAGGAUCCUCUGGUGUACAAGGAACCAAAAAUAACGUCCCCAGCGCAAGGC
rnacentral:lncRNA from 1 species